rnacentral:tRNA from 1 species
GGGGAUUUAGCUCAGUGGUAGAGCACUUGCCUAGCAAGCGCAAGGCCCUGGGUUCAGUUCCCAGCUCCA